GAAACAUCUAUAUUGUUUGCAUGGGUCUAGAUUACGCUCUGAGAAUAGAAUGUUCCCUGCAUAAAGAGCGCGGCUGGAGUAAAUCAAUGAGGAUGCACUCAGAAACAUCAAUUAAAGAAAGCUGCUCCCUUUUCAUCACAGCCCUGAUAAUGAAUUGCAGUGUACAAAGCCGGUCAUACAAUACGCAGCAGCGGCAGCGCGGAGCGAGAAUCUUUGGGAAGAGUUUCCAUAGAAACAUUGACGUCCUCCUGGCGAACAGGACACCGAGUUCCUUCAAUGGGAGAUAA
rnacentral:lncRNA from 1 species